UACGGAGGGAGCUAGCGUUGUUCGGAUCUACUGGGCGUAAAGCGCACGUAGGCGGCGCCGUAAGUCAGGGGUGAAAUCCCGGAGCUCAACUCCGGAACUGCCUUUGAAACUGCGGUGCUAGAAUCCUGGAGAGGCGAGUGGAAUUCCGAGUGUAGAGGUGAAAUUCGUAGAUAUUCGGAAGAACACCAGUGGCGAAGGCGACUCGCUGGACAGGUAUUGACGCUGAGGUGCGAAAGCGUGGGGAGCAAACAGG
rnacentral:rRNA from 1 species